rfam:Human immunodeficiency virus type 1 proviral DNA, gag, pol, vif, vpr, vpu, env, tat, rev and nef genes, complete cds.
CUCUGGUAGCUAGAGAUCCCUCAGACCAUCCUAGUUAGUGUAGAAAAUCUCUAGCAGUGGCGCCCGAACAGGGACCGGAAAGCGAAAGAGAAACCAGAG